GUAGAAGCCCAACAAAAAAGUCCACUACACCACCUUCUUCCUCUUCUCUCUUUUUCCUCGUUCUCCUCUUCUCUCCCUCACGCUCUCUCCAGCGCCGCCGCUUCCUAGGCAGCGCCGGCGACGCCGUCACUCUCCCUAGCGCCGGCUGCCGCGCCCCACUCCGGCGACCCCUCUAGCAGAUGUCCCGCAGCCGCGAAUCGGUUCCCCUAGCUCCCAUGAGCUCGUUUCUGCUAACCCUAGCCUCCAGCCUCCUCAACCUAAGAUGCAACCGGCGACCAACUCCGGCGAGAUAAGGAUUUAGGGAAGUUUUCCCCUGGCCCCUAUCGCUGCUACCACUUCAAUUUCGCUCUUCUAUCUCCUUUUCCCUGAUCUCUAGUGUUGUACUAGUAAGGUGUUCUUCCCCUUAUCUACUACUGAUUUAUGGUUGUAAUGCACUAAUGAUACUUGUAAACUAAUCCUAAUGAUCAACUUGAUGACUCUAUGCUAUGGAUUGUAAUUAGUAGUUCUAGGGUUCUAGAGAAAUUGGCUUGCUAAGAUGGAUGAUGCCUAUAUGCUCACGAUGAAUGAAUCCAGACAUGAAUAAACCCAUGAAUUGAAUUACUGAAAUUUAAAUCACACUAACAUCAUUGGUCCUUAUAUAUGCAUACAUGUUGAAUUAACUGAAUCUUCUGAAGAUAGUGACAUACUAGCAGGACCAGAUCUUUAGCUAAAAUCUUAUUCAAUGAUGAAGCAAUUUACAUGGUUCUACACUUUGAUAAUCAUGGCAAUAUCUAUACUAAGAAUUAUUGGACUGAAAAUCCCUAAAACUUGAAUCUUGAAGUUAAUAAAUGAUAAUUUGUUUCUCUAAAUAAUAUACUGCUGGUCUAUAUGUCCAGAAUUUCAUCUCUACAUAAUUUAUUAGAUUAGAGUUGUUGAUAAAUUAGACUACUGGUCAACUAUUAUUUAUAAUGGUUUUAUUAUGAGACUAUGCUCUAACAUUUACUCUCCUGCACAUAAUGAUCUGGUAAAGAAACUUGCAUGUUCUGUUAAGUCUUUACGAUUUAGUACAACUAUUAUUACUUAACACUAUACAUGCUUAAAUGUACAUCCAGAUUCAUCCUAUGAUGUCUUUUCUGAAUUUUGUAGUAAGGAACUAGAUACAUAUGCAAACCCAGAUUCAUAAUCUACUAAUUUCACAUGCUAUCCUUAAUUGCUCAAUUCUAUUCUUUUUACUAAAACCUGCUGCUACCUAAUCUUUUAUAUUUUAAUCUGAAAUACCAGUGCCUCCUGAACUUCUGCUAUAUUCAUAAGGUCAAAUUCAGUCAGGUUAUAAUUAGUUCUAAUUGUUUAUGUAAUCAAGGUUCCUACUAUAGGGUCUAUCAUGAAUCCUGAUUUCAAGAACUAUGCACAUAUGCAAACCCUUAACUGAAAUGCAUUUAUAACUCAUCUGGAAUAAUUCUUGUUGCUAACUAUGAAAUGAGAUAACCGAUCUGUACUUGAAUUAUCCUUCUGAGAAUCCACUAAAUUUAGGAUGAUAUUAUCCUGUCCAACUACUCAAAAAAACUUUACCUUAUUGAACUAAGGAUGCAUAUUCAGUAAUAUAACCCCAACAUCUAGUACUAGUAUAUGCACAGAUCAACAUGGCUGCCAUCUACUUAGGUUCAUUUUUCAGGUUUAAUGGAUAUAACUAAGUGCAUGCACACAACUCCUAAACAUACUAAUAUAUGCAUCAACCAAGAAUCAUGCCAUGAUGUGAUUUCCCUAUCAUUCUUAUUUCAGGAUUACCUUGUUAAUGACUCUGGUGUGGCUGUGAAGAUUGUGUGGUUUCUCCCUCUCUGGCACCAGCUGCUCCUCCAGAAACUAAGGGUAUUUGGGCAUUUCCUUCAUCUUCCUGAGCUGGACUGCUAGAUCACCACUUGCUCCUUCUUCAGGUGACUCACCUGCUUGCAUGCCGGUUGGAUAAGGGCUUGCUGCCACCUCAACAAAGCUGGUUUGGUGUGAUAAUCUCAAGCUAUAUUUACUAUCAGUAGAAAUUUUGUAAAGCCUGACAUGUUUAGUGCUUUUGCACUUGAGUCCCACAAGUUAGUAAAAUUUAAGAUUACUAUGAAUUUAGGGACUGAUAUGCAAUUGCCCUAGAACUCAAGAGUUUUUCUGAAAAAUAAAUAAUUAUUGAAUCUUUGACUGAGAUGGUUCAGUUUAUGAUAUGAUAUCUAUAAUCACCAUGUAUAUGCACAAUAUAUAGAAUGCAUACUGUAAAAUUUCUAGUGUACAAUUAUAUGCAUGUAUGUAUGCAGACCUGUAGUGGUAAACUGUAAAUAAAGAACUGUGAUUCUACUGUGCA